GUAAUGUUAAUAUUUCAAUUUCUAAUACAUUUUAAAGAUGCUUUAUUAUUAUGUUCAUAAUUUAGUUUAUGCAAUCAUUUCAGAGGUUAGGAUCAGGUAAUAGAUGGAAAUUAUGUUGAAGCAGUUGUUUUGAUGUUGAAUCUUUUUAUUUGCCUUUUGCCUAUCUUGUAAGACGACAUUAAUUGAAGGUUAAAUUUCCUUGGAAGGCCAUUUGUAAAACUGGUGCCCCAGCUUCUUCUUCUUCUUCUUCU
rnacentral:misc_RNA from 1 species